GCUCAAAGGUUCCCUCAGAAUGGUUGGAAAUCAUUCAUAGAGUGUAAAGGCAUAAGGGAGCUUGACUGCGAGACCUACAAGUCGAGCAGGGUCGAAAGACGGACUUAGUGAUCCGGUGGUUCCGCAUGGAAGGGCCAUCGCUCAACGGAUAAAAGCUACCCCGGGGAUAACAGGCUUAUCUCCCCCAAGAGUUCACAUCGACGGGGAGGUUUGGCACCUCGAUGUCGGCUCAUCGCAUCCUGGGGCUGUAGUCGGUCCCAAGGGUUGGGCUGUUCGCCCAUUAAAGCGGUACGCGAGCUGGGUUCAGAACGUCGUGAGACAGUUCGGUCCCUAUCCGUCGUGGGCGUAGGAAAUUUGAGAGGAGCUGUCCUUAGUACGAGAGGACCGGGAUGGACAUACCUCUGGUGUACCAGUUGUCGUGCCAACGGCAUAGCUGGGUAGCUAUGUAUGGACGGGAUAAGUGCUGAAAGCAUCUAAGCAUGAAGCCCCCCUCGAGAUGAGAUUUCCCAACUUCGGUUAUAAGAUCCCUCAAAGAUGAUGAGGUGAAU
rnacentral:rRNA from 1 species